rnacentral:rRNA from 1 species
AUGAACGCUGGCGGCGUGCCUAAUACAUGCAAGUCGAGCGAACAGACGAGGAGCUUGCUCCUCUGACGUUAGCGGCGGACAGGUGAGUAACACGUGGAUAACCUACCUAUAAGACUGGGAUAACUUCGGGAAACCGGAGCUAAUACCGGAUAAUAUAUUGAACCGCAUGGUUCAAUAGUGAAAGACGGUUUUGCUGUCACUUAUAGAUGGAUCCGCGCCGCAUUAGCUAGUUGGUAAGGUAACGGCUUACCAAGGCAACGAUGCGUAGCCGACCUGAGAGGGUGAUCGGCCACACUGGAACUGAGACACGGUCCAGACUCCUACGGGAGGCAGCAGUAGGGAAUCUUCCGCAAUGGGCGAAAGCUUGACGGAGCAACGCCGCGUGAGUGAUGAAGGUCUUCGGAUCGUAAAACUCUGUUAUUAGGGAAGAACAAAUGUGUAAGUAACUAUGCACGUCUUGACGGUACCUAAUCAGAAAGCCACGGCUAACUACGUG